UAUUAUUCCAUUUCCCUUUUUUCCAAUUUCAGGUAUCACUGGAGAAUCUUCUAAGACAACCAUUAUAUCUGGAAGUUCUAACACAGGUAGCCUAACAAGAAGGAAAUGUGUUUUACUUAAUGUCAAAUGUCAUGCUAUGUCUUUUAGAGCUGCUAUGAUAAAAUACCAACCCAGUAUCCUCUCCCAGUAUGCCAAAUUCACAGACUUCACCACUCUAUUUCUUCCCUCAGAGGCUACAACUUCCAUUGAAGAGACUGGUACUUCUGGAACUGGAUUCAAAACUGCAGGCAUCACUACAGCUCCAGGAAAGCAAGCAGGCACCUCUGGGGUGGCACCUGGCACAAUAGUUGCCCCUGGAAGUUUCAGCACAGCAGCUACAACUUCUCCUGGAGCAAGUGGAGUGACUGGCACUGGACCCACUGCAGGAGCCACCACUGGAGCGCCAGGAAGUAAGACAGGCACAGCUGGAGUGCCCUCUGCUACAACAGUCGCCCCGGGAAACUCCAACUCAGAGGCUCCAAUUUUCUCUGGAAUCACUGAAGCAGUAACAGUCCCAGGUAAAAAUGGGAAGUUUGUGAAAUAUUUCUAACAAUUCAAAUUGAUUUAAAUAAAUACAAAGUAAUUUCCUAUGGAAAUC
rnacentral:lncRNA from 1 species